rnacentral:lncRNA from 1 species
UGUGAUGGGAUGCCUUGUCGAAAUUAACAAAACCCAUAAACCAGAAUUCAUGGCCAUCUGUGGUGGCGAUCUGAAUGUACUUCUCCGGCGGAUUCUCUUUCGUCACCACAGGGUUCACGGUGCUUAUAUUUCCCAAAGGUAUAGACACCUGUUCAACAUUAAUACAGUUUUACAAUCAACUCAAAUUACAAAGUUGAAUCGCGACAACUGAAACUUUACAACCAUAGUAAAACAUGGCUCAAAUUAUAGAGUAAAACCAUGAUUGGACAGUUAAUUUAAAGUUAUUUACCUUGUAGUAACUCCAAGCUGCUUGUCCAGACGGAGAAGUAAAAGUCAGAGGACGAUCGCUGCAAAAAGCCAGUCUAGCAGUCGACAGAUACUGAGUCCCGGCAACCGGCCCCGUCGACGUCGAAAGAUAACAGGCAAACGUCUUCUUCAACUUCUCGUUCGGGUCAGUCGCGAAAAUC